rnacentral:rRNA from 1 species
UACAGAGGUCCCAAGCGUUGUUCGGAUUCACUGGGCGUAAAGGGUGCGUAGGUGGCGAGGUAAGUUUGAUGUGAAAUCUCCGGGCUCAACCCGGAAAUGGCAUUGAAUACUAUCUUGCUAGAGGAGUGGAGGGGGGACUGGAAUACUUGGUGUAGCAGUGAAAUGCGUAGAUAUCAAGUGGAACACCAGUGGCGAAGGCGAGUCCCUGGACACUUCCUGACACUGAGGCACGAAAGCUAGGGGAGCGAAUGGG